UGGGGAAUUUUGGACAAUGGGCGCAAGCCUGAUCCAGCAAUGCCGCGUGCAGGAUGAAGGCCUUCGGGUUGUAAACUGCUUUUGUACGGAACGAAAAGGCUCUGGCUAAUACCUGGGGCACAUGACGGUACCGUAAGAAUAAGCACCGGCUAACUACGUGCCAGCAGCCGCGGUAAUACGUAGGGUGCGAGCGUUAAUCGGAAUUACUGGGCGUAAAGCGUGCGCAGGCGGUUUUGUAAGACAGAGGUGAAAUCCCCGGGCUCAACCUGGGAACUGCCUUUGUGACUGCAAGGCUGGAGUGCGGCAGAGGGGGAUGGAAUUCCGCGUGUAGCAGUGAAAUGCGUAGAUAUGCGGAGGAACACCGAUGGCGAAGGCAAUCCCCUGGGCCUGCACUGACGCUCAUGCACGAAAGCGUGGGGAGCAAACAGGAUUAGAUACCCUGGUAGUCCACGCCCUAAACGAUGUCAACUGGUUGUUGGGUCUUAAUUGACUCAGUAACGAAGCUAACGCGUGAAGUUGACCGCCUGGGGAGUACGGCCGCAAGGUUGAAACUCAAAUGAAUUGACGGGGUCAUAGCUGUUUCCU
rnacentral:rRNA from 1 species